CCUGGAACUGUCUUGCUAUAGGUAGAAAAUCUUGGAAAAUCCAAUGCAUCUGUUCAGGAAUCAAGCUACUGAAGUACACUCAUUUGGAAGGGUGCUGUCUGUUAGUAUUUCACAGAUUUGUAUGAAACGUGAGAUCCAUGAAGAGUAAAAAAACUCAUCCUGACCUUGCAAAUAGUCAUUGGGUAGGGUGGCAAAAUCUAACCCUACAAAUAGAGCUUCAUUAGGCACAGAAUUUCAGUUGAAACCUUGGAUCCAAUGUGGGAUUUCACUCAAACACAUUCACUCUGUGGGAAAAAGCAAGACAUGAUGUGUUUUGGAGGAAAAAAAGUGCUUUUGCUCCCAGCUUGUACCUCAUUGCUGAGUGUUGUCUACUUGUUUCUUGUGGAGGUUAUCAUACUGAGUAUCUCCUAUGGCUACUCCCACUGAGCUGAUGGGGACUUUGCUUUGACAGCACCACUGGGACUGAGACACCAAGUCCAAUACAACUAUCUCUGUAACGUCUUGAGAUGAGUAUCACUGGAGUUUGCAAGCAACUGCCACUGACUUCCCUCUAUCUGAAGAAUCUUUGUAGAGAUGCUGGUGUGCUGGCUUCAGGUUGUCACCCCAUGUAUGGGCAGACUUCACUGCAUCUUCCUACAGUCAACACAGUGCAAGGGGAGGGGUAAUGAGAAGAUGGAGAGGAUCUGAGCCUCCUGCAAGCCCAGCCCUGGAACCUUGAUACAGUAGAACACCUCUCAUGGCUGCUCCUGCCCCAUGCUCCAGUGGAAGCAUCCCUCUGCAAACCCUCAUACAUACCACCCAAGGUAUGCAAGCAUGGCUGUUGAGGAAGAGAGAGACUUCACAUUCUGAUGAGUCAGCUGCAGCGCCUGUUCCCCCUCCUUCCAUUAGCACCAUCUGAAUUGCUCUGCUAGCAGUAGUUUUAUAAGAAAAUUUUACACCAAUCUGCUUCUGCGUACUAUUCUAUGCAGCAGAUCUAGUAGGAAUGUACAAUUUGUAUUCACUGUAUUUCCAUAUAUUGUCUCCUUAAUAUUUCAUUAGAGUUUUUUUUUAUAAAACAUACUAGUAUGUACUGCAGGAGCCUGACCACCACUGAUAAUUUUAAUGUACCCGAUGCACACAAAAUAAUAAACUUCAAUAUCAAGGCAGAAUUUAGUAAGAGUGAGAGAGAGAAAAAGUAAAAAAGAGGAAAUGUUGUGAAUUCAUAGGAUGGCCAGAGUAAUAAAACACCUAAGAAACGAACAGGAACAUGAAUUAGGCUUUGUCAGUGGUGCACAUGGCCUAAAUCCAGAGCCAGUUCGUCGUAAUAGCACACAGGCAUGUUCCAGAUAUUGUUACAAGGCAGAACGGUCUACAAAACCCUCUUCUCAAACAUCAAUCUUUUGCCUUCAAAACUGCUUGUUAACUGAGCUGAGAAAUACAUCAAAUAUGCUAAUAACAUAGUAACCAGCAGCUAAGGAAAGAAAAAAAAUACACCAAAUGUUCAUUUACAUUAGGAUCACAACAGCAACAGCAUACUGAUAAUUUAACCCCCUCUGCUCUGGAUAACAACCUCAAUGUGACAUUAACCACAGACAUUAUAGGGAAUGCUGUAAUUGAAUGACCUCAUUGUCAGUUUUAAACAAUUAAUGAUAUUGAGAUUAUUCAAAAGGACAAGUGGAAGCCUGUUUUCUUCAUCAAAGACUACUUAAUAAUCAGUUUUAUGUACUGAGAUAAUGAGACAUAUUAGCCCCAGAGUCAAGGGUGGAGGGCCAGUGAAAUAUCUCAAACUCUCUUUGAGCAUAAGGUCAGAAAGAACACAUGGCUUUCCGUGCUUACAUUGGGCGAUGUCACACUGGA
ensembl:lncRNA